UACGUAGGGUGCAAGCGUUAAUCGGAAUUACUGGGCGUAAAGGGCGCGUAGGCGGCCUACUAAGUCGGACGUGAAAUCCCCGGGCUCAACCCGGGAACUGCGUCCGAUACUGGAAGGCUUGAAUCCGGGAGAGGGAUGCGGAAUUCCAGGUGUAGCGGUGAAAUGCGUAGAUAUCGGGAAGAACACCAACGGCGAAAGCACUCUGCUGGGCCGAAAAACUGACACUGAUAGACGAAAGCUAGGGGAGCAAAUGGG
rnacentral:rRNA from 1 species